UGGUGAUCAAUCAAGCCAGCUGACCAAUCUUAUCGCCUCCUCCCUGCUCAUUCUACCCAAUAAAUACCAAGGGCUGUGGAAGCUCAGGGGGGCUGCCUUUGCCCACUAGAAGCAGGGCGCUCCCUUCUUCUUCCCCAUUUCCCCUUCCUUUAAAACAGUUUAUUUUUUAUAAUUUCUACGUUUGUCCCUUCGUUCAGUCUCGUAAUGACGGUUUCAAGUAGUAAGAGUAAUAACUGUCGUAGUGACGGUCUCAAGUAGUAACAGAAAUAACUGUCGUAGUUAUAGUCUGAAGUAAUUGUGGCAGUCAGCCACAGGUACACAGGACUAAAGUUUCAUUAAUGUCUGCUGUAAAAAUGUAAAAUAUAUUUCUUCAAGAUCCUUGGCCUUUUCGGGGCCCAGAACGCUACGGAAGCCCGGCGGCCGGGAGGAGUUGGGCUCCCGCUCCAUAGCGGCCCCACGGCCAGCACGCGGCCAGGCCUGCAGAGUGCGCAGAGCCCGGCCACCCACCUGCCACCUGACCCAGGAAGCGUAAAGCGAGCUCCCACUUCAUCUUCAUGGAUUCCCAGCCCAGCUGCGUGGUGGUGACUGAUGCUGAAGGAUGGGAGGUUGUUUGGAGAGGAAGAUCUGUUCUCAAGCAACAGCAGUGAUGCCAAAAGUUUCGUUAUCAAC
rnacentral:lncRNA from 1 species